rnacentral:rRNA from 1 species
UACGUAGGGACCAAGCGUUUGUUCGGAUUUACUGGGCGUAAAGGGCGCGUAGGCGGCGUGGUAAGUCACUUGUGAAAUCUCUGAGCUUAACUCAGAACGGUCAAGUGAUACUGCUGUGCUAGAGUGCGGAAGGGGCAAUCGGAAUUCUUGGUGUAGCGGUGAAAUGCGUAGAUAUCAAGAGGAACACCUGAGGUGAAGACGGGUUGCUGGGCCGACACUGACGUGAUGCGCGAAAGCCAGGGGAGCAAACGGG